AAAAGUAACGAAACACACUACUUUCCAUAAAAAGUAACUAAGUAACAAUACUUGGUUACUUCUUAGGGAGUAAUGC